rnacentral:rRNA from 1 species
AGUCGACGGGAGGAAAGAGAAGCUUGCUUCUUUUUGAAUCUAGUGGCAAACGGGUGAGUAACACGUAAACAACCUGCCUUCAGGAUGGGGACAACAGACGGAAACGACUGCUAAUACCGAAUGUGUUCCGGAGACCGCAUGAUUUCCGGAAGAAAGGAUGGCCUCUAUUUAUAAGCUAUCGCCUGAAGAGGGGUUUGCGUCUGAUUAGGCAGUUGGUGAGGUAACGGCCCACCAAACCUACGAUCAGUAGCCGGUCUGAGAGGAUGAACGGCCACACUGGAACUGAGACACGGUCCAGACUCCUACGGGAGGCAGCAGUGGGGAAUCUUCCGCAAUGGACGAAAGUCUGACGGAGCAACGCCGCGUGAGUGAUGACGGCCUUCGGGUUGUAAAGCUCUGUGAUCGGGGACGAAUGGCUGGUAUGCUAAUACCAUAUCAGAGUGACGGUACCCGAAUAGCAAGCCACGGCUAACUACGUGCCAGCAGCCGCGGUAAUACGUAGGUGGCAAGCGUUGUCCGGAAUUAUUGGGCGUAAAGCGCGCGCAGGCGGCUUCUUAAGUCCAUCUUAAAAGUGCGGGGCUUAACCCCGUGAUGGGAUGGAAACUGGGAGGCUGGAGUAUCGGAGAGGAAAGUGGAAUUCCUAGUGUAGCGGUGAAAUGCGUAGAGAUUAGGAAGAACACCAGUGGCGAAGGCGACUUUCUGGACGACAACUGACGCUGAGGCGCGAAAGCGUGNGGAGCAAACAGGAUUANAUACCCUGGUAGUCCA